rnacentral:rRNA from 1 species
UCCAUCUGGUGGCAACACCGGAGAAGAUCUAGUGGCGAACGGGUGAGUAACACGUGAGAAACCUGCCCCGAAGUCUGGGAUAAGCCCUCGAAAGGGGGUCUAAUACCGGAUGUCCUCAUCAGGCCGCAUGGCCAGAUGAGGAAAGGUCUGCUGCUUCGGGAGGGCCUCGCGGCCUAUCAGCUUGUUGGUGAGGUAACGGCUCACCAAGGCGACGACGGGUAGCUGGUCUGAGAGGACGAUCAGCCACACUGGGACUGAGACACGGCCCAGACUCCUACGGGAGGCAGCAGUGGGGAAUCUUGCGCAAUGGGCGAAAGCCUGACGCAGCAACGCCGCGUGCGGGAUGACGGCCUUCGGG